CAGUAGCCGCGGUAAUACGUAGGUGGCAAGCGUUGUCCGGAAUUAUUGGGCGUAAAGGGCUCGCAGGCGGUUUCUUAAGUCUGAUGUGAAAGCCCCCGGCUCAACCGGGGAGGGUCAUUGGAACCUGGGAAACUUGAGUGCAGAAGAGGAGAGUGGAAUUCCACGUGUAGCGGUGAAAUGCGUAGAGAUGUGGAGGAACACCAGUGGCGAAGGCGACUCUCUGGUCUGUAACUGACGCUGAGGAGCGAAAGCGUGGGGAGCAAACAGGAUUAGAUACCCCGGUAGUCCCUGUCUCUUAUAC
rnacentral:rRNA from 1 species